UAGACAUCGUUCCAACAAUUACGUGUUUUCUGAAUGACAAUUUUUGCAUUGCAAAUCCCAAAAGUCUAUAUUGAUUUUCUAGCUACUCUUCCGUAAUAUUACAUACCUCAUUUCAUCAAGAAGAUUGUGUGGGGUAUAAACACCGUCUCGGAUUUUUCGUUGGUAGAAGAACUGAUUACAUGCAAGAAUUUUAAUUUUAUCAAAUAAAAUUUUGUGCCCGGCUUCAUGAGUGUGUUCGGCAACAGCUGAUGAGUUUAUCUGUCUUAUGCGUAAGGCUCUUUCGUGUUCUUUGAGGAUAGUUGAUAUUUUUCGUCCGGUCUCUCCAAUUUAUUCUUUGCUGCAUGUGCAUGGAAUGCUGUAUACUCCUGGCGUCUCAAAUGGAAUUUUGUCUUUGACGGACCGCAGAUGUUGAGAGAUUUUUGGAAAAGUGGUAAAUCUGGUUUUGACGUUAUACUUCAUUAGAACUUUUGAUAUAUGGUCAGUGAUGCUUUGAAUGUAAGGAAGGACCACAGUGGCAAGUGUUGGAUUGCUUUCGGCCUCAUUGCAAUUGUAAGGUUGUGGUGAAGUGUAUUUUUUGAUGGAACGUUUAAUAUAUUUAAUGUGGAAAUUAUAAGAGAGAAGAGCAGAGGUAAGGUGUUUUAAUUCUUUUUUCAGUGACUCGGGCUGAGAUAGUUUUACGGCCCUGUUAACAAGAGAGUUGAUAACCGAUGAUUUUUGGGCUGGAUGGUGAUGUGACCAUGCAUUAAGUUAUCGGUCUGUGUGCGUAGGUUUUCUGUAAACACAAUGACCCAAUGUUAGGUCUGAUUUUCUAUUGAUAAGAAUAUCUAAGAAUGCCAGGUUAUUAUUAGCUUCCAACUCAAUGGUAAAACGUAUAUUAGGGUGAAUCGAGUUUAAAUGUCUAAGAAAAUCUACUAGGGUUUCUUGACUAUGAGACCAAAUAACAAAUGUAUCAUCGACGUAGCGUUUCCAUAAUUUUGGUUUUAAAUGAAAGCUAUCGAGAGCUUUCUUCUCAAAGGCUUCCAUAUUUAUAUUCGCGAUGACUGAUGAUAGUGGAGAACCCAUAGCUGUUCUCGACGUUUGCUCAAAAAUUUGACCGUUAUAAGAAAAAUAUGUUCCCGAUAAGCAUUUUUCAUUUAAGGUGAGAAGGUUUGGUUCCAGAUUCUCGGAUUUUAAUAUAUCUGAAAUGAUGUCGAGAGUUUCAGGAAUAGGAACUUUGGUAGAGAGAGAUUCUACGUCGAAACUAACUAGAAUAUCUUGUUUUUCUAAUGUAAUGCUUUUUAAUUGUUCAAUGAAAUGAAAGGAUUUAAGUACGAAACUGUCAGUUUUCCCUGUAAGGGGUUUUAAUAAGAGAAUAAUAAGAGAAUAUGUUGGAGAACCAAUGGUGCUGACAAUAGGUCGAAGGGGUAAUCCUGGUUUGUGAAUCUUUGGAAGUCCGUAGAAACGAGGAAUUUUAGAGUCGUGAGGGGCAACAGAUUUUUUCACGGAGUCUGAUAGAGAAAAUAAAAUACGAGCCAGUUUCAGUCAAGCUCUGAAGAAGCCAACAGGAUGAUGGGCGAAACGUUAGGUAGUUCGAGUCAACAAAAACCGACGCAGGAGGAAUCCAGAAGUUUUGUAAAAAGCAUUACAGUAGCCUGUGGAAGUUUCUUUGAAAAAUUAAAAAAGUAUAUCGAACUGGUUUUACAAAAAAUAAUGUGUCCAUGGCAAUGGCCCCAAGGGGCUUAUGUUAACAUUUUUUUUACCUUCGCCAGAAACCGGUACAAACUCAGUAGGGCACAAUUUGCUCAAAACGCUCAGUAUUUAACACUCAACAAGGGUCGACUUGGUAGCUAGAUAUAAUUGGGGUGAAUUUGCAAUAUGGUCCAAGAAAGCUUUAGCCCUGCUUUGGGCCGGUUUUCGGCAGACAAAGAGUUUGGAAGUUUGUGGUUUUGAGCCUAUUGCCGUGAUGCUAUUAACAUUUCAUUACGUGCGCUCGUACGUCACCCCAUUUGAAACACAUAAAUAUUUAUCUUGUAUCGAAAACAAUCGAUACGUUAUGAAUAAAAGUUCGCCGUGAAAAACAC